rnacentral:lncRNA from 1 species
UUCUACCUGUGUAUUUGAAUAUGCUUAAUUUACUCGGUACAUCAUCAUCGGAGACAAAUUCAUGCAAGUUGCGUGGAACCUUUCGAUGUCUGGUCAUUACAUGUGCUUCAAAAUAAUGAGCAGAAAAUGCACCUACUUCUUCUACCAAGUAAGCAUUGCAUAUUGAACCUUUGACCCUUGCUUUAUUUUUGACAUUGUUCUUUAACUUUCUCAGGUAUCUAGUGUGUGGAAACAGAAAUUAGAAAUGUAUACUAAGUAAAUCAUCA